GAUGAACGCUGGCGGCGUGCCUAAUACAUGCAAGUCGAGCGAACAGACGAGGAGCUUGCUCCUCUGACGUUAGCGGCGGACGGGUGAGAAACACGUGUAUAACCUACCUAUAAGACUGGGAUAACCUCGGGAAACCGGCGAUAAUACCGGAUAAUAUAUUGAACCGCAUGGGUCAAUAGUAAAAGACGGUUUUGGUGUCACUUAUAGCUGGAUCCGCGCCGUAUUGGAUAGUUGGUACGGUAACGGGUUAUGAAGGCAAGGAGGCGUAGCCGACGUGAGAGGGUGGUCGCCGACCUGGGAGCUGGGCCACGGACCAUGGUCCUACGAUAGGCACCAGUCGGGAAUCUGCCGCAAUAGGCGGAAGCCUGACGGAGCAGCGCGGAGCGAGAGAUGAAGGCGUUGGGUGCGGAAAGCUCUGUUUUGAGUGAAGAACAGAUGUGGCAGGAACUGUGCACGUCGUGACGGUACCGGAUCAGAAAGCCCCGGCUAACUACGUG
rnacentral:rRNA from 1 species